rnacentral:lncRNA from 1 species
GACAAGCUCUGGAGGCUGUUGUGGAGUCCCGAGACUAGGCCUAAGGCAUUGUCCUGUGCCUUUGAGUGGGCAGUGGGCCUGUUGGGCAUUGGGACAGCUGUACCAGACAGUGCUGUCCCCUGUCCGUGUACCCUUUAGCUUCCCAUUGAGAUAGGGAGGAGCCUUCUCAGCUUGACCCCAACUUCCAGAGACCCCUCAUUCCUGUUGCUCUUUUGGGCUUCAUGAGAUGGGAGGGCGUGACUGGAGUGAGGCAGAUGAUGGGAGCAGCUUCUCACCUGACCUGUGAGGACUCCGAUCAUGAAAGCUAGGGCUUGGGGGUGGGGUAUAGGGAAGGACCAGGGUGGGGAGACUUGACUGAACACCUCUAUCACAUCGACUUCGGGGUGGGCUGAGCCCAGGGCUCACUCAGGGGUGACAUUUGCAAAAAACAAAAAACAAAACAAAAAAACAAAAAAAAAAC